rnacentral:rRNA from 1 species
GCAGGCGGUGCUAUACUGCAGUCGAGCGGACAGAUGGGAGCUUGCUCCCUGAUGUUAGCGGCGGACGGGUGAGUAACACGUGGGUAACCUGCCUGUAAGACUGGGAUAACUCCGGGAAACCGGGGCUAAUACCGGAUGGUUGUCUGAACCGCAUGGUUCAGACAUAAAAGGUGGCUUCGGCUACCACUUACAGAUGGACCCGCGGCGCAUUAGCUAGUUGGUGAGGUAACGGCUCACCAAGGCGACGAUGCGUAGCCGACCUGAGAGGGUGAUCGGCCACACUGGGACUGAGACACGGCCCAGACUCCUACGGGAGGCAGCAGUAGGGAAUCUUCCGCAAUGGACGAAAGUCUGACGGAGCAACGCCGCGUGAGUGAUGAAGGUUUUCGGAUCGUAAAGCUCUGUUGUUAGGGAAGAACAAGUGCCGUUCAAAUAGGGCGGCACCUUGACGGUACCUAACCAGAAAGCCACGGCUAACUACGUGCCAGCAGCCGCGGUAAUACGUAGGUGGCAAGCGUUGUCCGGAAUUAUUGGGCGUAAAGGGCUCGCAGGCGGUUUCUUAAGUCUGAUGUGAAAGCCCCCGGCUCAACCGGGGAGGGUCAUUGGAAACUGGGGAACUUGAGUGCAGAAGAGGAGAGUGGAAUUCCACGUGUAGCGGUGAAAUGCGUAGAGAUGUGGAGGAACACCAGUGGCGAAGGCGACUCUCUGGUCUGUAACUGACGCUGAGGAGCGAAAGCGUGGGGAGCGAACAGGAUUAGAUACCCUGGUAGUCCACGCCGUAAACGAUGAGUGCUAAGUGUUAGGGGGUUUCCGCCCCUUAGUGCUGCAGCUAACGCAUUAAGCACUCCGCCUGGGGAGUACGGUCGCAAGACUGAAACUCAAAGGAAUUGACGGGGGCCCGCACAAGCGGUGGAACAUGUGGUUUAAUUCGAAGCAACGCGAAGAACC